rnacentral:rRNA from 1 species
GUGAGGAAUUUUCCGCAAUGGGCGAAAGCCUGACGGAGCAAUGCCGCGUGAAGGAUGAAGGCCUAUGGGUUGUAAACUUCUUUUCUCAGAAAAGAAUUAUGACGGUAUCUGAGGAAUAAGCAUCGGCUAACUCUGUGCCAGCAGCCGCGGUAAGACAGAGGAUGCAAGCGUUAUCCGGAAUGAUUGGGCGUAAAGCGUCUGUAGGUUGUUUAAAAAGUAUUCUGUCAAAGAUUAGGGCUUAAACCUAGAUAGGCAGAAUAAACUUUUAAGCUAGAGUUUGGUAGAGGCAGAGGGAAUUCCCGGUGGAGCGGUGAAAUGCGUAGAUAUCGGGAGGAACACCAAAGGCGAAGGCACUCUGCUGGGCCAAUACUAACACUGAGAGACGAAAGCGAGGGGAGCAAAUGGGAUUAGAUACCCCUGUAGUCC